CGUCGAGUGGCGUCGAGUGUCGACCGGUCGGAUGUCCGCGGAGGGCGGCGGCUACUCGCCGUGUCCGGCGGAGGCGCUGCCGGAGCUGAGCGCUGCCGAGCUGGCGAUGAGCCUGUCGCCCAAGUCGGCGCUGCUGCAGCAGAACCUCUCCCAGCUGCAGCUCCAGCACUCCACGCCCUUCUCCGUCACCGACAUCCUGUCGCCUAUCGAGGAAUACCGCAAGUUGGAGCUGGCGAACAACCCGCCUUCGCCGUACAGGUCAAAUUCAUCGGGUAGCAGCAUCAACUCGCCGCUAGGUCCAGCGGCGUCUUGCGGCAUGGCUGCUAACCCUUACGCCGUGCCGCUGUACGGCGGUGCGCCCGUGCAGGGCUACGGCUGCGCCCCCGCAGACUUGCCCCACUACGGGGACAUGCGGGGCGCAAGCUGGUAUCCCGCCUCGAACGACCCCAGGUUUGCCAUUUCCAGGCUGAUGACCUCGACGUCGGGCGGUAUGGGCCACGUCAAUAACAUGGGCGGCCUGGCGGCCUGCGCUGGACCAGAUGCCAAGCCCAUGCAAUUUCCCCUGGCACAGAGACGUAAGCGACGAGUGUUGUUCACGCAAGCACAGGUUUACGAGUUGGAGCGACGGUUCAAGCAGCAGAAAUAUCUGUCUGCGCCCGAGAGGGAGCAUCUCGCUUCACUCAUUCACUUAACCCCAACACAGGUCAAAAUAUGGUUUCAAAAUCAUCGUUACAAGUGCAAGCGACAAGCCAAGGAGAAGGCGAUGGCAGAACAAAACCAACACAAUCAGUCUGCAUCAUCACCACGCCGGGUGGCGGUACCGGUGCUGGUAAAGGACGGCAAGCCUUGCGGCUCUGGGGAGUCCUCAUCACCAGCGCAUAGCCACUGCGCAACGCCCACCUCCGGGUACUCAGCCCCGCAACCCUCGCAGGCGGCUUGCAGCAACCCCCUGGUGUCCUCCUACCGCCAGCCCACCGCCUACCAGCAGCAAUGCUCAGGGUACCUCCCGCUACAGGGCCGGGCCUGGUAGAAGUUCCCACAGCUUUACCACGAGACAAUGUUCAAAGAGGAGAUGUACUUUGAUUAAAUGAUUUGUCGUUAUUGUUUAGUCUUGACAGAUUGACAUUAAUGCGUUGCUAUAUUUAAAGGUUUCUAUUAACAUAGUUGCAUUUGACGACUCAUAGUUGAUUUGAUGAAUUAAAGUAGUGUUUGUCAUUUGUUUAAUUAGUAGUAUUAUUUAGAGAUGUCUUUAAAAGGAACAUUGUCAGUGGUAAAGCGGUGGGCAGAGCUACCAAAAUUGGACAUUGUGUUGAAAAAGUGAUUCAGUGAUUUAAGUGAAAAUGACCGAACAUUGGACAAACGCUUAGCGAUAUUGUGGAGGUCUAGCAACACCGGUAUCGGUUGCAAAAUACAUGUGCCGUUUUGGAUACAUUCUGUUCUGAGGACUGAGCUAAUGUAAAUAACUGAUACGGAAGUAGUUAAUUGUUGUGUGAAUAGUAUAAUUUAUGAUUAAUACGGUCAGUGUUUUGUGUGUGUGUAGAUAGUAACUUGUAAAUAUCGAUUUGAAUAGUUGCCGAUUAUUUUGGCUUAAAAUAAUUAAAAGUAGAUAAUUAAUUCCCAGUGAAAUUUGACAGUACUUUAGUCACGUUCAAAUAUUAUA